UACGGGGGGGGCAAGCGUUGUUCGGACUUACUGGGCGUAAAGGGCUCGUAGGCGGCCAACUAAGUCAGACGUGAAAUCCCUCGGCUUAACCGGGGAACUGCGUCUGAUACUGGAUGGCUUGAGGUUGGGAGAGGGAUGCGGAAUUCCAGGUGUAGCGGUGAAAUGCGUAGAUAUCUGGAGGAACACCGGUGGCGAAGGCGGCAUCCUGGACCAAUUCUGACGCUGAGGAGCGAAAGCCAGGGGAGCAAACGGG
rnacentral:rRNA from 1 species